AGAGCUUAGUGCACAGCAGGAUCUCUCUUUAUUCAAAACUUAUAAAAUAAAAAUAUAUUGGUUGCAGAUGCUAUAAUUUUGAAAGCAAUAGAGUACUUGAGUACUUGAAUACUUUUUUGAUUAAACUAUUUACAAGGUGAAUUGUGCUGCAGAAAUUCAAGGACAAAGGGACUAGAAAUCAACAGGACUCUAAAAACCCAAACUAAAUAGGUAUUGCAUGAGUUUCUAAGUUGGCAAUAGUUCUGGCAGUAACAGGAAGGGCAGAUAUCCUGCAAUGGGAAAGCAGUAAUUGUUCUAUCAACACUUCACUGUAUUUAUCUACUUUUUUGCAUCAUAAAGAAAUGUGUUUUUUAAUCUGUAUACAUUUACAUUUUCUUUCCGGUUCUUGUUUUAAGAAUGAUAAAAGAACAUUUGCAAAAUGAUAUGUAUUCUUG